rnacentral:lncRNA from 1 species
AAAAAAAAAAAAAUCCUGCUUUCCUUAGAUUUCACCCUCAGUCCCUCCAUCCCCCAGCUCUAGGCAACCACUAAUCUACUUUCCAUCUCUAUGGAUCUGCCUAUUCUGGAUAUUUCAUAUAAAUUGAACCACAUGGUAUAUUGUUCUUUGUGACUGGUUUCAUUCACUCAACAUAAUGUUUUCAAGAGUCUUCUAUGUUGUAGCAUGUAUCAAUAUUUCAUUCAUUUUUUAUUGCUGAAUAAUAUUCCACUGUAUGAAUAGACUAUAUGUAUCCAUCAUCCAGUUGAUAAUGUUUGGGCGUUUCCACUUUUUAGCUAUUAUGAGUAAUGCCACUAUAAACAUUUGUGUACAAGUUUUUAUGUAGAUAUUAUUGCUUUUUUAAGAAAAGCAAGUACUAGGCCAGGUGCAGUGGCUCAUGCCUGUAAUCCCAGUACUUUGGGAGACCGAGGUGGGAGGAUCGCUUGAGCUCAGAAGUUUGAGACCAGCCUGGACAACAUGGCAAAAUCCCAUUUCCACAAAAAAUAAAAAUUAGCCAGGCAUGGUGGUAUGCACCUGUAGCCCCAGCUACUUGGGAGGCUGAGGUGGGAGGAUUUCUUGAGCCCAGGAAGUUGAGGCUACAGUGAGCCAUGAUCCUGCCACUACACUCCGGUCUGGGCAACAGAGUGAGACCCUGUCUCAAAAAACAAAAACAAAACAAACGAACAAACAAAACCCAAGUACUAUACAUAAGAUUAGUUUUCAGGCCCGGUGUGAUGGCUUAUGCCUGUAAUCCAAGCACUUUGGGAGGCCAAGGAAGGCGGAUCAUGAGGUCAGGAGGUUGAGACCAGCCUGGCCAACAUAGUGAAACCCUGUAUCUACUAAAAAAACAAAAACUAGCUGGGUGUGGUGGCACGCACCUGUAGUCCCAGCUACUUGGGAGGCUGAGGCUGAAAAAUCGCUUGAACCUGGGAGACAGAGGUUGCAGUGAGCCGAGAUCACGCCACUGCAGUCCAGCCUGGGUGACAGAGCGAGACUCCAUCUCAAAAAAAAAAAAAAAAAGAAAAAAAAAGAAAAGAAACUAGUUUUCAAUGAUUUUUUUUCAGGGUAGUAAAGAAGACGUUACAAGAUAUUUAUUAUAAAAAGGGGCCUUGGGUCUGAUGGGACUGAAAACUGCUACUUUAGCAAAAAGAAAACAAGCUUUGACUUCAGAAAGACCCAAGACUGAGCUCUAACUCUGCUACAUACUGACAGGAAUUUUGAGGAAGUUACUUAAAUGCUCUGAGUCCCAGUUGGCUCAUCUCUAAAAACAGGAAAAUUAAUAUCUACAUCGCAAGACCAUUUGGAGGAUUCACAAGAUAAUGUGGGGAACAUCUAGCACACUGUAGGUACUCAGCAAAUGUGGUUCUGUUUCUCCAGCCACUUGACUUUGCAUCUUCUCAACAUGCAAGGGAGCAUAGUCACUUCAAUUGCUGGCCAGUGCAGCUCUUCCAGGUAAAAGACCUCUGCUAACUUCUUCCCAUUGUGUAGAGAGAAGAUUUUAAUCUUCUCUAAAAUUCAUCUAUAUCCUCUCAGCUUCCAAAGACCUCCUCUGAUCAUCCUUUGUGAGAUACCUGAUUUGGUGACAGCAUCAUGAUUCCCAUAUCCCUUCCUGUGAUACAAACCAGGCUCUGUCCACCCAGAAGAUGAUGAGUAGGUUUUCGCUAUAUAUUUAGGAGUGGAAGUCCUUCCUUCUCAGACUAUACUUGUUUUUCCCUUCUCUGACUCUACACAGGUCCUGCUGUGUCUUUCUUAACCUGCAGCAAUGUACAAAAAAGAACAUUUUGAUGUGCCAAUAUGUAAAUGUGCUACUUUUGAUUACCAACGAAGUAACACACCAAGCACAUUCUGAACCUCAGCUCCUUCCAUUCCCCAUCCUGUACAGAUGACAUAGGAUGCAAGGGUCAGAGCUGUGGCAAACAUACUCCUUGUACUCAAUACCUGGAUAUGUUAUUAAAGUGGAACAUAUAAAAUGUUUUAUAGGUUACAUCUAAGUGUGUGAUGCAUGAAAAAACUCUAUUCUUGCACCAGACUCCAUUCUCGCACCAGAGUCUCCAUUCUUGCACCAGAGACUCCAUUCUUUGACCUAUGCAGCCAGCUGAAGGUCCCUGUAGUUCUGUUGACCAUCUGCAAACAUGGAAAAGCUUGGGUUUAGGCCACAACUAUAGGGAUCUGAGUGUUCUGAAUUGGGACUGCUUAGAUUUUUUUUUUUUAUAUAUAUAAAGCUUAAUGUAGACCCAGCAUGCCCCAGCAUUUAGGACAUUUUUCUCACCCACACUCAUACUGAAGCCUGGAAAUGAGCCAUGCACACUCCCUCUGCUCCCAUUCAGACAACAAAAUUGAGCCACUCUGCUGGAAAAGCCCAUCUUUCUUCCCAGCCCAUAGGUUAAAGGGGCAACUCUAAACCUUCUCCCCUAAAUGACUGGCAUGAACAUCUGACCCACAGGGGAUCAGUCAGGUUCUUUCUCCAAAUAAUUUGGAAAAGUUUAAGAAGAGCUAGUUCAGGGGCUGGCAAACUAUUGCCUAUAGGCAAAAUCUGGCAAUGCUUGCUAGUUUAAUAAUGUCUGCGACUGUCAAUAGUUGCAGGAGAUAUUUUAUGGAUCUCGGUAGCAUAAAAUAUUGACUAUCUGACUCUUUACAGACAAAGCUUUCCAACCCCAGAGCAAGAAGUUUACAGAGACUUGGAGGCUGAGACCACCAUUUGGAGGCAGGAGGGCCGUGUGCACUCAGAAUAGAAGAAACUGUGCUCAGAGACAUGGAAGUGAGAGAGAGAGCAUGAAGCAGCGAGUGCCAGGAGAAGCAGAAAAGAACCAGGCAGUUCAAAGAAAGGGCAGAAAGGGCCAGACAACCUUCCAGUGUCUGUGAGACACAUCAACCUUGCUUGUGCUCUGCAUCUGUGACUGUCCCAUGUAUACAAUAAACCGU